rnacentral:lncRNA from 1 species
GGUGUGUCUACCCCGUGUCCAAUAGUGAUAAAACUAUUUGUUUAAAAAUGGUAGGAUGAAACAUUGAUGCUUUUAUGCAAAUAGCCAAACGCCACCUAUCCAAAAUUUGCAUGUACUUGGUAGGUCCUUUUAUAACCAUUUAGUGAACUUGCCAAUACAUUCAAUGUAUUGACCCUCUAGUGGCUGCAACGUUUAAAUGUUGCAGAUGAACCAGGUGAAGAGUGAGGUACGCAUUGUUAGGGUUACGAGUUUACAUUCCAACAUGUUUCGACUGUGGAGUUUGUAACAUCCCAAAAUUUAAAAUUCUUACAUGUGCAUUGCAUUCAUUAGCAUCAUGCCACAAUGGCAUAAUUGAAUUCAAAUUUGAAUCUCAAUAGGCUUUAAAAAAAUUAUUUCAAUUUAAACCCUAGGGUUUUCACCCAUUUGAGCUUUGGAUCUUCAAACCAAUAGGGUUUAUUUAUAAAAGGGGUUUAUUGCAUAAAUAAGCUAUCCCAUAAUUUUUGGAUAAAUUAUUUGGAGUCGAAAAACUAUUUUAUUUAAAUAGUUAUAUAGCCCUAAAGGCAUUUAUAGGGCAAAUGUAUUUUUAUAUAUUUUAUUUUGAGAGGAAAUUACUCCCAAAAGUUGAAUCAUGAUAAAACAUGAUUUUACAAAUUUUCUGGAACUUAUUUGGACCAAUUUGGAGUUCAAAUUCAAAAGAUAUCAAAGAAUUGAGAAAAAGGAAAAAAAGAAAAGGCUAAAAGAAAAAAAAAGGGGAGAAACCGGACCGGCCCGGCCAAAUGGGCCGAACCGACCCAGUUCCGCGUGAACCGACCGAGCCAGACCGGCCCCGCCGCACGCGCGCGCGCCCGUAGCCGCUGAC